UGCACUGGUAAAAGCAGCCACAGUUCCAGCAUGGGAUGAUGGCGUUCCCCUCCCAGCUGUAAUAAAUCUGGCAUUUGUCUAGAUCAUCUGUGGACUGGCUGUGGUCAGCAGAACAUCAAGAGCACUUGCUGUCAUGGACAAAUGAAAUUACAUGGACAUUUAAAAGAGUUAUAAAUCUGACUUCUAAAAGGAGUUUCAGGCAAAUGAUAGUAUAAUGGAUUUAUAUAUAUAUAAGUAUAAUAUAUAUAAUGAGCAAAAGAAUACCUGGAUAUAUGAACAAGACCAAUAAAUUAUG